AUUGAACGCUGGCGGCAGGCUUAACACAUGCAAGUCGAGCGAGCGGCGGACGCGUGAGAAAUGUGUGGGAAACAGCCUGAUGGCGGGGGAUAACUACUGGAAACGGUACCGAAUACCGCAUACCAUCAGAUGUGCCCAGAGGGGAUUAGCUAGUAGGUGGGGGAAUGGCUCACCAAGGCGACGAUCCCUAUCUGGUGUGAGAGGAUGACCAGCCACACUGGAACUGAGACACGGUCCAGACUCCUACGGGAGGCAGCAGUGGGGAAUAUUGCACAAUGGGCGCAAGCCUGAUGCAGCCAUGCCGCGUGUGUGAAGAAGGCCUUCGGGUUGUAAAGCACUUUCAGCGAGGAGGCGUUACUCGCAGAAGAAGCACCGGCUAACUCCGUGCCAGCAGCCGCGGUAAUAC
rnacentral:rRNA from 1 species